GCCCAUCCACGCUCGGUUGCCUAACUAACGGUAAAAGAUGCGGACAUUGGCCCUCCGAACCGCGAGGCGCGGUGGGCCUAAGUGUGCGGCCGUCGUACGUGGCCGGGAGCGGCGAGUUGUGGGCUACUGCGCACGUCACCCCGAGCCUCGUACCGAUGCAGGGCCUUGUUUGAUCCCUAACGAGGAGCAUGUCGUUGCGGCUUCUGCUGCGCGGUGCCUUCGGAUC
rnacentral:misc_RNA from 1 species